rnacentral:rRNA from 1 species
AUUGAACGCUAGCAGCAGGCUUAACACAUGCAAGUCGAGCGGGGGAAGGUAGCUUGCUACCGGACCUAGCGGCGGACGGGUGAGUAAUGCUUAGGAAUCUGCCUAUUAGUGGGGGACAACAUCUCGAAAGGGAUGCUAAUACCGCACACGUCCUACGGGAGAAAGCAGGGGAUCUUCGGACCUUGCGCUAAUAGAUGAGCCUAAGUCGGAUUAGCUAGUUGGUGGGGUAAAGGCCUACCAAGGCGACGAUCUGUAGCGGGUCUGAGAGGAUGAUCCGCCACACUGGGACUGAGACACGGCCCAGACUCCUACGGGAGGCAGCAGUGGGGAAUAUUGGACAAUGGGGGGAACCCUGAUCCAGCCAUGCCGCGUGUGUGAAGAAGGCCUUAUGGUUGUAAAGCACUUUAAGCGAGGAGGAGGCUACUUUAGUUAAUACCUAGAGAUAGUGGACGUUACUCGCAGAAUAAGCACCGGCUAACUCUGUGCCAGCCGCCGCGGUAA